GGAACCUCUGAUCAAUAGUAAGCAAAUGUUCUCAGCUGGCAUAGACCAUGUCAAGGCAGAAGUUCAAAUGGUGACUGCACACAUACAAGCAUCUGAAGAAGUCAUAUUAAACACACAACGUCAAGUGACUGGCAUGAGAGAAGACCUUUGCCAAGUCCAAUCAUUUCGAAACUAACCUGGCACAGAGACAUGACCAACUGGAUGACCGCAGCAGGCAGGCCAAUCUCAAGAUCAUUGGUAUCCCUGACACUAUUGAUUUGGCUGAACUGCCCCAUUACCUCAGGCACCUCUUCACUGGGUUAUUACCUCCUAACCAAGCUAAAAAAGUCAGGAUUGAUGGAUUCUGUAGGAUAAAUAAAUUCUCACAGGCCAGACGGAGACAACCUCUAAUAACCCUACUGGACACAAUAGGAC